rnacentral:lncRNA from 1 species
CGUCACCGCUGGCUAUUUCCCAAAGCAAAGAUGGCGGAAGGAGUGUGUCUGCUGAUGGUGUGGAGGAGGACUCUUCUUCUUUUAAUAUCUUUUCGGAUAGACUAUGUGACGUCGGCAUUGGUGAUAACAGAAAUGACGGAGGCUCGCGAAUUAAGAUCCUAUAGGAACUACCACGAAGUGGAAAUGCACCAUUAUACCAUCCCUAGUCAAAUAUCGUUAGCCAGCUGGGAAUUCAAAGCUAAUGGAACAUCGUCGUGCGUUUCAAAAAGUAUUGUUGUGUAAGUUGCCCCCUUUUGCCAUCUAUUAGUUACCAAACGGCGAAAAACUAUCCAGAGAAAAGAAUAAAAUGCCAUCAUUCAAAAUAAAUGGAAAUCCAUUGGAUCCAAUAUUAGAUUUAGCCAACUCGUAUCCAGAAAUUGGUUGUGUCUGUCGAAUAGGAACAAACAUUCUAUUAUUUCUUUAGAUUUUUUUUGUCCUAUUGGGAAAGAAGAAAGAUCGGUGCACAAACUGGCAAACCAUUGAUUGGCCCGAUGAUCUUUUAUUACCAGUAGUUAAACGUCAAGAUGGUAAGGACUGAUAGAAUUAAAUCUGUGAUUUAUGAAGAGCUUUUCCCGUCUGGCUUGUAUGUUCCGAAUUGAAGCUUUCUAUGGCUGUGCCACCUUCAUACAAUGAAACACUCUAAAAGAUUUGUUACCAGCUAAUUUUAAUAGACGUCGUCUGUCUCCACCGUUAAUUUACGAGUUUCCAACAAUUAGAUUAUUGCAUUCUUUCAGUUUUAAUUUUAGAAAAUUUAUUUAUUUCUUAAUAGCGGUAGUAGGCUGUUAAAGCCAUAUUAAAAUAGAUUUUCAAUGACUAUAGAAUUAAGAAAAAAAUUUUUUCUCUCGAAAAAGUGCAUUUAUGUUUAGUUUUGUAAUAGGGAGAAAAAUAUUUUAGUCCGAAGUAGUGGUAUGUGCUCUAUCGCAGAAUUUAUGAAUAGAGUUUAUCGUCUUUAUAGGUGAGGAAAAAUUGGUCCGGAAUAAGUAUGGAAAUUGGCAAAAUAACUUUUUACAAAGUAUCGCUGAUUUCUCUCCAAGGAUUUUUAAAGCUUUUAACAGAAUAUUAAGAUUUGAAAUGAUUAAAUUUUAUAUAUACGAUUGAUUUUUGAUUUAGG